CGGGAGGCUGCAGUAGGGAAUAUUGGGCAAUGGGCGAGAGCCUGACCCAGCCAUGCCGCGUGCAGGAUUGACAGCCUUAGGGUUGUAAACUGCUUUUAUACGGGAAAAAACCUUCGAACGUGUUCGAAGCUGAUGGUACCGUAUGAAUAAGCAUCGGCUAACUCCGUGCCAGCAGCCGCGGUAAUACGGAGGAUGCAAGUGUUAUCCGGAAUUAUUGGGUUUAAAGGGUGCGCAGGCGGAUUGAUAAGUCAGUGGUGAAAUCCUACAGCUUAACUGUAGAACUGCCAUUGAUACUGUUGAUCUAGAGUUUAGUUGAAGUGGCUGGAAUGUGUCAUGUAGCGGUGAAAUGCAUAGAGAUGACACAGAACACCGAUAGCGAAGGCAGGUCACUAAACUAAUACUGACGCUCAGGCACGAAAGCGUGGGUAGCAAACAGGAUUAGAUACCCCAGUAGUC
rnacentral:rRNA from 1 species